GAUGAAGAACGCAGCAAAAUGCGAUAAGUAAUGUGAAUUGCAGAAUUCAGUGAAUCAUCGAAUCUUUGAACGCACAUUGCGCCCGCCAGUAUUCUGGCGGGCAUGCCUGUUCGAGCGUCAUUAAGUCCACUUAAGCCCUGCUUAGUGUUGGGAGACUGCUCCAGCGGUGCUACCCUGUAGCUACCCUGCAGCUCCUCAAAGACAGCGGCGGAGUUGUGGUAUCCUCUGAGCUUAGUAACUUGUUCUAGCUUUCGAGUACACCACUUCCCCUGCCGUAAAACCCUUAAUUUUUAAUGGUUGACCUCGGAUCAGGUAGGAAUACCCGCUGAACUUAAGCAUAUCAAUAAGCGGAGGA
rnacentral:misc_RNA from 1 species